GAUGAACGCUGGCGGCGUGCUUAACACAUGCAAGUCGAACGAUUAAAGCCCCUUCGGGGGUGUAUAGAGUGGCGAACGGGUGAGUAACACGUGGGCAAUCUGCCCCUCACUUCGGGAUAACUCAGGGAAACUUGAGCUAAUACCGGAUACUCCGAACUGAUCGCAUGGUCGGUUCGGGAAAGCUCCGACGGUGAGGGAUGAGCCCGCGGCCCAUUAGCUUGUUGGUAGGGUAAAGGCCUACCAAGGCGACGGUGGGUAGCCGAGCGGAGAGGCUGAUCGGCCACACUGGGACUGAGACACGGCCCAGACUCCUACGGGAGGCAGCAGUGGGGAAUGUUGCGCAAUGGGCGAAAGCCUGACGCAGCAACGCCGCGUGCGGGAUGAAGGCUCUCGGGUCGUAAACCGCUUUCAGCAGGGAUGAAAUUGACAGUACCUGCAGAAGAAGCCCCGGCUAAAUACGUGCCAGCCGCCGCAGUAACAC
rnacentral:rRNA from 1 species